AUUGAACGCUGGCGGCAGGCCUAACACAUGCAAGUCGAGCGGAUGAAGGGAGCUUGCUCCUGGAUUCAGCGGCGGACGGGUGAGUAAUGCCUAGGAAUCUGCCUGGUAGUGGGGGAUAACGUCCGGAAACGGGCGCUAAUACCGCAUACGUCCUGAGGGAGAAAGUGGGGGAUCUUCGGACCUCACGCUAUCAGAUGAGCCUAGGUCGGAUUAGCUAGUUGGUGGGGUAAAGGCCUACCAAGGCGACGAUCCGUAACUGGACUGAGAGGAUGAUCAGUCACACUGGAACUGAGACACGGUCCAGACUCAUACGGGAGGCAGCAGUGGGGAAUAUUGGACAAUGGGCGAACGCCUGCUACAGACAUGCCGCGUGUGUGAAGAAAGUCUUCGGAUUGUAAAGCUCUUUAAGUUGGGAGGAAGGGCAGUAAGUUCAUACCUUGCUGUUUUGACGUUACCAACAGAAUAAGCACCGGCUAACUUCGUG
rnacentral:rRNA from 1 species